GGCCGUGUGGCAAAAUGGUUACUGCGUUGCUUUCCGAUUUCCGUGUUCUCUACGCGGUGGAUAGGCAGAGACUGUGGGUUCGAGUCCCACCAUGGUCG